rnacentral:rRNA from 1 species
CGGGGUGAGUAAUGUCUGGGAAACUGCCUGAUGGAAGGGGAUAACUACUGGAAACGGUAGCUAAUACCGCAUAGCGUCGCAAGACCAAAGAGGGGGACCUUCGGGCCUCUUGCCAUCGGAUGUGCCCAGAUGGGAUUAGCUAGUAGGUGGGGUAACGGCUCACCUAGGCGACGAUCCCUAGCUGGUCUGAGAGGAUGACCAGCCACACUGGAACUGAGACACGGUCCAG